rnacentral:rRNA from 1 species
AUAGCGUAUAUUAAAGUUGUUGCAGUUAAAAAGCUCGUAGUUGGAUUUCUGGUUUGAACGUCGGGUCCGCUUCCGGCUUGUUCCGUGAGGCGCGUACUAUGGAUGUUUGGGCCAUUUUUUGUGAGGAUGCUCUUCUGCCAUUAAGUUGGUGGUUGGGUGGACUUGCAUCGUUUACUGUGAAAAAAUUAGAGUGUUUAAAGCAGGCGUUUGCUCAUUUGAAUACAUUAGCAUGGAAUAAUAAGAUACGACCUUGGUGGUCUAUUUUGUUGGUUUGCACGCCAGGGUAAUGAUUAAUAGGGACAGUUGGGGGUAUUCAUAUUUCAGCGUCAGAGGUGAAAUUCUUGGAUCGCUGAAAGAUGAGCUUAGG